GAGACACAGAGGUGCCCCUUUCCCUGGCAGUUCUUGCCACUGGCUUUGGAGCAACUGGAUCUGAAAGCUGAAGGCUGAGGCUGAUGGACAGAGUAACAAGAAACUUAAAACCAAAGGAACAGGGUUCUGAAUAGACCAUCUGGACUCUUCAGCCAUUUUUGUGAGGAGCUGCAACCCUAUAGAGGGGGUUUCAUUUGCUUUAAGGCAUACAGUUGAAGCUGUGUCCUGGAGCUGAUGUCGUCAGAGGCUUGAAAAGAAGCAGCAAACCUGUGAUUCCACGUUCCUCUAGUUUGGGAGGCACAUCUCACGCCAGGUAACCUCGAGACCCCUGAAUUUGAGGCACCCUCUG
ensembl:lncRNA